CCUACGGUGUGCAGCAGUGGGGAAUAUUGGUCCAUGGGCUUACGCCUGAACCAGCCAAGUCGCGUGAGGGAAGACUGCCCUAUGGGUUGUAAACCUCUUUUGUCAGGGAGCAACGCCGGCUACGUGUAGCCGGACUGAGAGUACCUGAAGAACAAGCAUCGUCUAACUCCGUGCCAGCAGCCGCGGUAAUACGAAGGAUGCGAGCGUUAUCAGGCUUUAUUGGGUUUAAGGGGUGCGUAGGCGGAAUGCCAAGUCAGCGGUAAAAUCGCGGGGCUCAACCUCGCUCCGCAGUUGAAACUGGCGUUCUGGAGUGGGCGAGAAGUAUGCGGAAUGCGUGGUGUAGCGGUGAAAUGCAUAGAUAGUACGCAGAACUCCGAUGGCGAAGGCAGCAUACCGGAGCCCAACUGACGCUGAAGCACGAAAGCGUGGGUAGCGAACAGGAUUAGAUACCCGGGUAGUC
rnacentral:rRNA from 1 species